rnacentral:lncRNA from 1 species
AGGACUUGUAACAGAGAACAUUGCCAGCUUAGAUCCACGUGAAGGCCUCGAAGCUUUUCUUUAUGGCAUUCAUUGUGUGGAGGUGGAGUUCCCACCUGCAACCCAGUACUGCUUGACAGCAAUCAAUACCUUCUCUGGAACAAGGGGACCAUCCUCAUGGUCCACCAUUUUAGUAUCCCAUCUCAUCCCUCCAACUAUCUUCUUCACCUUAAUCAAUACAUCCACUUCAUCACGGAAUACGACGGCACCUUCUGGCCGCAAAAUUCGGUCCAUCUCAAUAAGAAUGUCUUCCCAAUCACAUCUGCAAUAUAUUUAGAUACAGCUUGUGAGUAGAAGAAAAGAAGAAACAAAGCAUUGAAUUGAUUUAGCAUAAGAAACAAUCUGGAAUCUACGUCUACUAUUGCAAGUACCCAAUCACUACUUAACGGCUACCACUCAUCUUUAGUCAUACAUACACUAUUGCUCAUCAUUGCAGUCGGAUUCUUAUUAUGACUAGUUAAUAAAUAGUUGGUAUUAGAUGUACAUAUACUAUCAUAACCAAAAGAGUCAUUACACCUCAAACUAAAAGGCUUUAUGUAGUUUUGUCUUUAAGCGAAGUGCUCAGGGGAACGACUCAACUUUGUACCAUAUGAAGACUACAUUGGAUCUAGAAAAAUGCACAAAGUUAGAGGCCCAAGAUUGAAAGAAGCUAAACAGGUUCAGAAUGUCACUGGGAUUGAGCUAAAUGAGCUUAACAUUAUCAAGGUCAAUCCAUGCUUACUGAAACAGCCAGAUAAUCAGCUUAACACCUCUGUCUAUGUAUUGAGCCCAAGUACUGUUCUUUUUUCUUUUUAUAUUAUUUAUAAGAAACUGUAAUCAAAUAUCUCAUUGGAUACUGAUUACAGAAAAGCAUUUGUGGAUUGAGCCAAGGCUUUCUUCAAUAGAGUACAAAGAUCAAUGCGCUCUUCUUGUAAACUGUUUUCAUACCAACAUCUGAACCCUCCCGUGAAGAUUAAAAGAACACUUAAGAAAGCCUAGAAAUAAAUGAUUAAUGAAGAUAUACUACUUACUUGCCAUCGUACAAACUGAAAACACCAUGGGCAUGAAUGAGGUCAUAUGUCCUUGGGUAAGUAGAGAAACCUUCACACCUGAAAUAGCAUCACCAGAAAAGAAUAAAUGAUUAACAAAUGACCAACAUUAGUGACAGAUGGGCUAUGCUCCAGGGCUUAUUUAGCACAUAAUAGUACACAGAACCUGACAUAAAAUGGAGGCAACAUUUCUUUUACGUCAACCUAUUUAGACAGACUACUUCUGUGACACUUUUUUGAAGUUUAACACAAAUCUUCAGCUACCAGAAGACAUUUUUAGCAGUAAAGGAAAUACUAAUAGGUAUCUUGAAAGCACAUACUCCAGAAAGCAAGUAAUAUAAUUGAAUGGUAAAUGAAGGAAUUUCAACAUAAUUUGCUAAAAGGACGCUUUAGAGAAACAAUUAUCAGAUAGGUGGGAGAAGUUCAGAAUAGGGUACCAGUCAUGAUAGAUUCCAAUCAAUCCUCGCUCAUAUAUGACACCCAGCGUAUUUUUCUCAGCUAUUGUGGGCACAACAUUCAUGACCCACAAUUUUGGAGAUUCAAGUGCUGCAGCAAAACCACCCAAACCAGCAUUCAUAUCCAUAAUGUUGCGAUACCUUCCUGAGUCAAUUAAUUUAUUGAUUCUCCUAUAUGCAUUUACAUGCUUCUUCCAUUUGUUGUUAUCCUCCUCGUAGGCCUCAAC